ensembl:lncRNA
GUAUUGGGGGAAGGAGAACAUUCAGUGACCAGAACCUGUGUGUGUUCUCAGCCUGCAGGUCCCUUCUUGGGCAGCUCUCCCAGCUGUCACUACCUCUCCUCUUUGCCUGUGCUCUAGUGGCAGUGGCGUAGGACUUAGCACUGGGUCCCAAUCCUGACCGGAUUGCUUAGCUCAGCUGUUGUUUACUUGCUACGUCAUGUCUGACUCUUUUCGCAACCCUAUGGACUAUAGCCUGCCAGGCUCCUCUGUCCAUGGGAUCCUCCAGGCAAGAAUACUGGAGUGGGUUGCUAUUUUCUCCUCCAGGAUAUCUUCUCGACUCAGGGAUGGAACCCAUGUCUCCUACAUUGAACCACGAGUGAGGUUGGUUCCGAGGCCACUUCUUCUGACAAGAGGGCUUCUGCCUUGAUAAGUACUUUCUCAUACUUGACCUCGCCAUGAAUCUUCUACACCCUGUGAAUGAAGGAUUGUUAAUAGCCCCAUUUUACAGUACAAGUAUUUUCAAGGUACUGUGGAAACAAAGUCAGACUGGAAACCGGGUCAUAAGAUGGAUACUGCCUGG